UUGUAUAUUGCAUGAUAUUUUAUCAGGGGAAAAAAAAUAAAACAGAUCCAAUUUCAUGAAAAUGCUGUUGCCAUAAUGCUCAGGAGACCAGGGGGAAGAGAGAGAUGCAAGUCUUCCUAAUGUCUACCUUAUAUGCAGAAGGCGUGGUGAGUUGUCAUUUAUCUUCUACUCCCAGCUUGUGUUCUUGAUCCUACUGUAACCCUUACAAGAGAUGACAGCAAGAUCAGCAUUCUGUGGAGCUGAAAACUGGACCGUAGUUUGGUUGGAACAACAAUGAAAGACAGCAAGACGUGGUAAGCCGCACCAAAUGUGUCGUGACCAGCCAUGGGCUGAGCCAUGCCCUAAACGGAAGCUCUGGGCCCCAAAUGCAAGGGCCUCCUCAGGGAAAACUUCUGCUGUGCUCAGUUUACGGUUAGAGAAAGAAACUGAGAAUAUUUUCCCACACAGAACCCAGCCAGAGCCAGCCUGACGGGCUCUCCCUUCCACUCGUGAGUCCCACCAUCCACCUGCAGCAGGUGUGAGGGCUCCUCCGUGUGGACUCGACACUACUGACCAGGACAGAUGCUGUGCUGUGGGCCGGAGCUACGGAGCUUGGCCCGCUUCGGACUCGAAUGCGGCCCCUGCAUGUUUGGUGUACAUCAGUACGCACAGCCGGCCCUCACAAGAGAAACACCAUGAACCAGCUAACCCACUCUACCACCUUCCUGUCCUAACGGUGACCUCUAGGGUUUGCACAGCAAGCAAAGCAAGUCUCCUGGUCCUCUGCAAGCCAGGCGCCAUGCAUUUAGUUAGCAAGCAGCUUGCGACUUAGGUAUUCUUUAGCUGGAGAGAUUGAGGUCCUUGCAGGGACUUAAGAGAGCGUGGCCUUCUGGAAGCCAUGUUUCAUCAUCAUGGCACAAAUCAGCAAAGUGACUCAAAUGGAAGGACUUCAGGGCCAAGGAGAGGAUCCUAACACUGGAAUCAAGCAGGGGAGAGACAGUUUUGGGCCAAUCUGAUUUUGUUCUUUGACUCCUCAGAUAUUAGCAAAGGGUGUGGUGCAGAAUUGAGGAGGAAGUAGAAAUGGAUCAUAGUUCCCUUGUACUUACUGAGCACCCACUGUGUGCCAGAUGCUCUGCUCUAUGUUGAGGUAUACUUCACUGUAAUAACCUGCUAUAGUAUGUAAUGUUAUUAUCACCACUUUACAGAUAAGGAAACUGAGGCACAGAGAGGCUGAGUAACUCGCCCAAAGCUAGUAGCUGGUGAGGCUGGGAUUUGAAUCCAAGAAGGCUGAUUUCAAAGCUCCUUUUCUGUGGUGGGCACUGUGUGUGGCCAUCCAUUAUCCAUUGUUUCUUAGUAACAGAACACCCAUUGCUUCUUAGAGUGAAAGAUAUUUCUCAGCUUCCUUACAGCUCGAUGCCUCUAUAUGAAUAAGUUUUGCCCUCUGCAGUAUAAGUGGCAGAGUUUUGCAGGAACACUAGAAAGUUUCUUUAACAAGGAGGGACUUAUCUUUCCUUCUCCAUAUUCCUUUUUGGAACAUGGAUGUGAUUGCUGGAGCUCCAGAAGCCAUUUUGGACCAAGAGGUAGCCUUGGGAAAGCCAGGUUGGAGAGUUGGAAAGAGUCCAGCUCACUGAUGACAUCACAGAUCUGCCUUUCAAGCUUUGAUUAGUGUACCUCCUAG